UACGAAGGGGGCUAGCGUUGUUCGGAAUUACUGGGCGUAAAGCGCACGUAGGCGGAUAUUUAAGUCAGGGGUGAAAUCCCAGAGCUCAACUCUGGAACUGCCUUUGAUACUGGGUAUCUUGAGUAUGGAAGAGGUGAGUGGAAUUCCGAGUGUAGAGGUGAAAUUCGUAGAUAUUCGGAAGAACACCAGUGGCGAAGGCGGCUCACUGGACCGGUAUUGACGCUGAGGUGCGAAAGCGUGGGGAGCAAACAGG
rnacentral:rRNA from 1 species